UAAUAUUAACAAUGAUUAUAAAAUAAUACCAAACUUUUGCUUUCUCUUAUUCAUGUGAAGUUCAUAUACAUGACAAUAACAUUUCCUCAACUUCACGCUCUUGAAUUAACAAAUUGAUUAAUUAUUCAUCACCAAUUUCCACACUUCAAAUAAUAAUCUAAAACCGAACUCUGACUUUUCAUAUUAAGGCAUAUAUCAUGUUUUGAGAAAAGACAAUGUACUUAUUAACAAAAGAAAAGAAUUAGAAAAAAAAGAUUGUCAAUACAAUGAACACAAUGUAUUAGAGUGGAAUAACCAAGGCUAUGAAUACAAUGCCUCGUUACGAGCCUCCCUGGAAUAAUAAUAUCAUCAUCACCUAACCAAUGUUCAAAUUAAAACACCAAAGACUAUGAAGGAUUCAGUGCGUCUUAAAGUCACAACAACAAGCAUAAUCCCACAACAGUAUACAUCCCCUUUAUAAAUUUAUAUUAAACUUAGAUUUUAAUAUUAUUGAAAGAACUAAAUCCAAACUUAAAUGUAUAAGUUAAACAUAAACAAUUAGCCAAAAGGAAACAGUGGAGCGUUACCUAAACAACUAUAUGGUCGGAGAUCGUGGGCGGAGAUUUGGGCUGUCGCUCAGAAAUCGCGGUUGUUGGCGACGAUUUAGGGAUAUCGACGGUGAGUGGUUGUUGUUGGAGGAAGGGGGCGUCGCCGACGAUUAAGAAGGUUUGAUGUGAGAGUAGGUGUGAAAAGGAGGAAACGGCGGUUUCACGGUGGGUUUCGCGAUGGUGGUGUAGUGGAUGUCAUUCGUCGGAAAGGAGAAGAGGAGUUGUUGUGACGGCUGGUCCAGGCGGUGGAUUUAUUGGAGAUUUAGAUGGAGCUUCCGGUGAGGGAGGGGUCGCGGAUGGAGGUCGAAGGUAGUUUCCGACGGUGGUGGUUGGAGUUUGGGAUUUCGCGGCGACGAGAUGAAGAGUGAAUGGGUUAUGCGUUGUUGUUAGGUUGGAACGCGGACGGAGGUUUGCCGGCGGUGAGCGGAUCUGUGUUGAUUCCGACGGAAGGAAGGCGGUUGUUUGGCGCUGUGGAGAAGAAUAGGGAACAAUUUCUUUCUCUUUUUAUUUUCCUCCCCUUUCUUCAUGUUCAGAGGGAGAGAUUAUCAUUUUGGAGAGUGAGAGGACUGGUUUUCUUGUGGUCCUCUCUCUUAUUUUCUUUAUCGUUUUCUUUUUUCUAUUUUCUUGAUUUUUUGCUAAGAGAGAGUGAUUAUUGAGGAGUCAGGUCAGUCCCCUAGAGAGAGAAGAGAGGUCGCCUUUUAUUUUGUGGAUUCCCUUUUUUUUUUAUCGUUUUCCUUUCUUUUAGCGGACCGUUGGAGACCCUUAGUGGAGAUAGAUGCGUGCUAGCUGUCACCUUUUUCCAGCGAGCGAGAGAGAGGAUUUGGAAGAAACUUUUUAUUUUAUUUAUUUUCAGAUUUUUUUAAUAAUAAUAUUAAUUAAAUCUCAAAUUUUGAUUGGAUAAAGGGGAUAAGUGUGAAUUGCUAAUUAG
rnacentral:lncRNA from 1 species